GCCGACUUAGCUCAGCUGGCAGAGCAUCUGUCUUGUAAACAGGGGGUCGGAGG
rnacentral:tRNA from 1 species